rnacentral:lncRNA from 1 species
UUCAGCCACAAGAAGACAUGAAAUCAAUUCAGAAUAUCUCUUAAAACCUCAUUCCCUAUAUUGCUGCUGCAGGAGCACAUUCGAGGCAUGAAAAGUAGAGAAUUUUUUUUCUAACAUAUCUCCAUCAGUGAUAUUAUCUCUACAUAAUUUCAAUUUAGAACUGAUUUUAAACAUUACAGAAUUAUAUUCACUUACUGAUUUAAAAU